rnacentral:rRNA from 1 species
AGAGCGAACGCUGGCGGCAGGCUAAUACAUGCAAGUCGAACGGAUCCUUCGGGAUUAGUGGCGGACGGGUGAGUAACACGUGGGAACGUGCCCUUUGGUUCGGAACAACUCAGGGAAACUUGAGCUAAUACCGAAUGUGCCCUUCGGGGGAAAGAUUUAUCGCCAUAGGAGGGGCCCGCGUCGGAUUAGGUAGUUGGUGGGGUAACGGCCUACCAAGCCAUCGAUCCGUAGCUGGUCUGAGAGGAUGAUCAGCCACACUGGGACUGAGAUACGGCCCAGACUCCUACGGGAGGCAGCAGUGGGGAAUAUUGGACAAUGGGGGCAACCCUGAUCCAGCAAUGCCGCGUGGAUGAUGAAGGCCUUCGGGUUGUAAAGUCCUUUCGGCGGGGAAGAUGAUGACGGUACCCGCAGAAGAAGCCCCGGCUAACUUCGUGCCAGCAGCCGCGGUAAUACGAAGGGGGCUAGCGUUGUUCGGAAUUACUGGGCGUAAAGGGCGCGUAGGCUGUGCUGCAAGUCAGGCGUGAAAGGCCCGGGCUCAACCUGGGAACUGCGCAUGAUACUGCGGCGCUUGAAGACGGGAGAGGAUGGCGGAAUUCCCAGUGUAGAGGUGAAAUUCGUAGAUAUUGGGAAGAACACCGGUGGCGAAGGCGGCCAUCUGGCCCGUGAUUGACGCUGAGGCGCGAAAGCGUGGGGAGCAAACAGGAUUAGAUACCCUGGUAGUCCACGCCGUAAACGAUGAGUGCUAGACGUCGGGGAGCUUGCUCUUCGGUGUCGCCGCUAACGCAUUAAGCACUCCGCCUGGGGAGUACGGUCGCAAGAUUAAA